ACUAGAGCAGGUGAAGCGAAGUGACGGUAUUUCAUCACCUGACCAGCAGUGCCUCGCGCCUCCGACCCGCCCACUCUUCACGUGCACGCGGGUUAAGGUGAUGUAUGAUCUCCCAUAAACUGGCUUGCUCCUCAUCACUGGAGUCUCUGAAACUCACACAUCUCUUGGUCCUCGUGGAAUGUGAGGGUGCAUACAGAUACAGAUA